ACGCCGUCCCGAGCGGCGUUCCUGGCCUCGCAGGGCCAUUGCGGCGGGGGUGGUGCCGUGUCGGCGCAGCACCACCCCCGCUCA
rfam:Streptomyces longwoodensis strain DSM 41677 genomic scaffold PRJNA299227_s002, whole genome shotgun sequence.